rnacentral:lncRNA from 1 species
UGGAAAAGGAUGAUGGUGAGGCUGAAAGCAGGAAAAGAUUUGACCCAUCUCCCAGGUUGGGCCCAGGCCAGAGGUCUCUACCAGCAAAGAGGAUAAAAGAGACUACACCUGGACAAACCCUCCCAGGCCCAGGCCUGAGCCUCACAUGUGGCCCCGGGGAAGGCAUCAGGGACUCCCUUUGCCCUCCCACUGACCUCCCUGCAAACCUCCCCCAAACCAAGGGGCAUCCUCAGCUGGCCAGACCCUGGGGGAAGGGAGAGAGCCGAGGAUCACCGGCACCUGUGGCUGGGUUACCCCUGCCAUGGACCACUGGGUGGACGGGCCCCUCGGUAUUGGUAAAUGUCAUAUCCUCAGGGUAAGAGAUGAAAGCUGCUUUCUUUCAAAAG